CAAAGAAAAAGAUCAAACGUUCCGG
rnacentral:piRNA from 1 species